UCCUUUUUGUUUAUACACAAAUGUGUCCAGAUACAAAUCAUAAUUUGAAUUUAAUUAAAUUUUAACUUUUAUACUGUUAACCAGUCGUGAGUUUGAAUAUUUUUCAAUUGAAAAGACAAUAUUGCUUUGUUUACUAGCUAUAUAACAUCAAAGUAUGUCCAUCGCGGGUGCCUUGAUCAUUGAAGUGUUUUUCAAGGUUGCUUAAGCUAAGGAUCUUCUUUGGAGAUAAUUUCUCUAGCUCCGUGAGAUUAAAGCAUAGAAACGAUCCUCAAAUUAUGAAGAAGUUGUGACAAAAGCAUUCUAAGGACAAGAAAAAAAAGUAGUUCUAAGAAAAGGAGAUCCAACAGAAAGUAAAGCUCCUGCCAAGAGAAGAAAAAUUGUUGAAGCAAUUUUCAGAGAUGAACUUCCCAAGGUAAUUGCAUGUUCAAAUCUAUUGAAUGUUGGGCCGAGAUACAUAUUUUGGGUUGCAUGAUACGUUGAGAAUUUCAUUGUUUAUCUGUUUUUUUUUUUGUUGCUAAGUUAUUUGUAUCUUGUGUAUUUUAUUUUUUAUUGAAAUUAAUAUAACAAAAUACAAGUUCAUAAAUACAUAGAUACAUGUUAAGUGAACUUGUAUAUGUGAGUAAUUAUUAAUGC